rnacentral:rRNA from 1 species
UACAGAGGUCUCAAGCGUUGUUCGGAUUCAUUGGGCGUAAAGGGUGUGUAGGUGGCGCCGUAAGUCGGGUGUGAAAUUUCGGAGCUUAACUCCGAAACUGCAUUCGAUACUGCGGUGCUUGAGGACUGGGAGAGGAGACUGGAAUUCAUGGUGUAGCAGUGAAAUGCGUAGAGAUCAUGAGGAAGACCAGUGGCGAAGGCGGGUCUCUGGACAGUUCCUGACACUGAGACACGAAGGCCAGGGGAGCAAACGGG